rnacentral:lncRNA from 1 species
CUGAUACUAGGUAUUGCUAUUAGAUUUUUUUUUGUUUUGCUUUUUCAUGAAGGCUAAAUUGCAGUGGUAAUGGCUGCUAGGGGCUUUGUUGUCAGAAACUGGCGCCACUGAGGGCAGGCCAGCUGCUGAGAGCAUCCCUGGUGCCUCUUGGGCUCCUGUGCCCUGCUCCUUGGACCCGGUGCCCCUGGGGGACUGCUUCACCUGGCACUGUCCUCUACACAGGCUGCUGAGGCCAGGGCUGGGUCCUAGAUCCUCCAUUCUCUGCAUUUUCUUCCUGGGCAAUGUCAUUUAAUCCCACACCUCCAAACACUACUUACAACUGGUGAUUUCUGAAUUUAUGUGUCUAGCCCUGACCUCUCCUCUGAGCUCCAGACUCAGAUCCCGUGGCUUAGUAAAUAUCUCCAUUUGCAUCUCUGAGGGGCAUCUCUAGUCAUGCCCCUCCUAUCUCCCUGACCCAUUCUCUCUCACUUAAACUGACACAGUAACCUCUCAGCUUUUCCUGUCCAGCAGCCAGAGGAUCUUUUUAUGGUAUAAAUCUAAUAAUAGCGCCAGCUUAAAACCUUCCAAUGCCUUUUCAUUGAACUUGGAACAAAAUACAAACGGCAUAGAGACUUGGUUCCCCUCCAGCCCAGCCUUUUACUGCUGUCUCUUGCCCUCACUGAGGUUAUGCAGGCCUCGGGCUUCUUGUUCCUGGACCCAGCUCUGUCUGCUGGGAAUGCUGUCACCCAAAAUUCACACUGCUGACUCCUUGUCUUUCAGGCCUCCCCUUAAAAUGUCAUCUCAGAGGAAUGGUAUGGCCUGAACCCCAGCCCGAGUCGUCUUCCACAGCUCCAUCCUUCUUUGCUUUCUUCCCAGCACGUACCUCUGGAAUGAUCCGAUUUCUCACUAGCUGUCCUGGCCCCCUUGAAUGGAUGGCCCAGAGAGACAAGGCCUCCUUCACAGCGGAUGCUCAGAAUUUAACUAAAUGAUUUAACGAAUAAAUUUAGGUAAAACUAAAUUUACAGUGGAGUUUUGUCUUUAGGGACUGAGUGACAAAUUCGAAUCAUUCGCUGCUUGUUUCCCAGUCGAAACUGCCCUUGUGUCUGAGGCGUGUGAACCAGGGCAACUCCAUCUUGAAUAGGGACUGGGUAAAAUGAGGCUGAGACCUACUGGGCUGCGUUCCCAGUCACAGGAUGAGAUAGGAGGCUGGAACAAGAUACAGGUCAUGAAAACCUUGCUGAUAAAACAGGUUGUAGUAAAGAAGCCAGCUAAAACCCACCAAAACCAAGAUAGGGAUGAGAGUGACCUCUGGUGGUCCUCACUACUACAGUCCCACCAGCACCAUGACAGUUUACAGAUGCCAUGGCAACGUCAGGAAGUUACCCUAUAUGGUCUAAAAAUGGGAGGCAUGUAUAAUCCACCCCUUGUUUAGCAUAUAAUCAAGAAAUAACCAUAAAAAUGGGCAACCAGCCGCCCUCAGGGCUGCUCUGUCUAUGGAGUAGCAGUUCUUUUAUUUCUCUACUUUCUUAAUAACCAUGCUUUCACUUUAGGGACUUGCCCUGAAUUCUUUCUUGCAGGAGAUCCAAGAACCCUCUCUUGAAGUUGGGGACCCCUUUCCUGUAACACUUGCAAAUCUCUUUCAAUUGCUUGUAAAGGACAGUAGAAAGCUGUGUGGGCCGUAGCAGCUGCUGGCCACAGGGUGCUUUUGAGCACUUGAAAUGUGGCCCGUCAGACUGAGGAACUAAAUUUUAAAUUUUAUUUAAUUUUAAUUUAUUUAAAUGUGAACUUAAAAACUGAAGCCUGAUUCAGUUAUUGGAAAAUUCUUAAGUAGGUUUGGAACAACUUAGAUCUGUGCAUGGAACUCUUUCAAAUGUAAUGGUCUGGAAUCUAAGUAAGGAUCAACUUUUCUCAGUGAAACUUCAGUGCCCCAUUGAGAUGUGCUGUGAAACACACACCGAACUUCCAAGGCUGAGUGAAAGUGAAGGAAUAUGAAAUAGCUCAUUAAUCAUUUUAAAUGUUGAAUGUAUGUUAAUAUAUGUAAAUAUGUUGAUAUAAUAAAUUGAUAAUACUUAGGAUACACUGAGUUAGAGAAAAUAUAUUGUUCAAAUUAAUUUCACCUGUCUCUCUUUACUUGGGAUGUGGUUAGGGAAAGGGUUUAAAUAACAUAUAUAUCUCAAAUUUUAUUUUUAUUGAGUGGCUGUGAUAGUUGAGUGUCAACUUGAUUGCAUUGAAGGAUGCAAAAUAUUGAUCCUGGGUGUGUCUGUGAGGGUGUUUGCAAAGGAGAUUAACAUUUGAGUCAGUGGACUGGGAGAGGCAGACCCACCCUCAGUCUGGGUGGGCACCAUCUCAUCAGCUGCCAGUGUGGCCAGAAUAAAAGCAGGCAGGAAAACUUGGAAAGACUAGACUGGUUUAGUCUUCUGGCCUCCAUCUUUCUCCCAUGCUGGAUGCUUCCUGCCCUCCAAUAUCGGACUCCAAGUUCUAUAGCUUUGGGACUUGAACUGGCUUCCUUGCUCCUCAGCUUGCAGAUGGCCUACUGUGGGACCUCACCUUGUGAUGGUGUGAGUCAGUACUCCUUAAUAAACUGCCUUUUAUAUGUACAUCUAUCCUAUUCAUUCUGUCCCUCUAGAGAACCCUGACUAAUACAGUGGCACUGGGAUACUGGAGACUAAUAUGUACCUCAUCUAUCAAUAAAUCACAUAACUAGUUGUUUUGUUUCUUCUGCUAGGAGAAUACUAUUUCUUUGGUUCAGUACCAGACUUGACCUGGGGCCCAUCUUGAAGAAAAAAAUAAAUGGCUUUAAAGAAUGGAACCCCACCCAGGGUGGCAAAAUGCCCACAAGAGACUCAGGAGGAUGGAGAGCAGCUGAGUGAACAGCAGGGCCAGGUCUUUUAACUCACUGCUGGGCUCCAGGAGCAGAGCUGUAUCUGACAUUAUCGUCUGCUCUGUGAAUUGUUCUUCUCUCUUUCCCUUCUUCCCUCUCUCUUUACUAAGUAUGUACAAUUAUACUUCUCUCUCCCCAUAGAUAGAUCUGGAAAAUGAUUUUCACCUGAGAGUUUUUGAAUGGUACAUGUUGGGGACAUUUCUCUUUGGAACAUUUCUAUAUUGCUUCAUUUUUAAAAUGAGCAUUUUGUUUUGCAAAAAAUAAUGGUUCUUGUAACAAAGUCUAGACAUUACAGAAAUAUAUAAAGUAGAAAAUGAACCUAAAGGCAGGAAUACCAGUUGACCUAGCAAUCCCAUUACUGGGUGUAUACCCAAAGAAAUAGAAGUCAUUCUACCAUAAAGGCACGUGUACUCGUAUGUUCAUCACAGCACUAUUCACAAUUGCAAAGACAUGGAAUCAACCUAAAUGCCUAUCAGUGAUAGACUGGAUAAAGAAUAUGUGGUACGUAUACACCAUGGAAUACUAUGCAGCCAUAAAAAGGAAUGAGAUUAUGUCCUUUGAAGGGACAUGGAUGGAGUUGGAAGCCAUUAUUCUCAGCAAACUAACACAGGAACAGAAAACCAAACACCACAUGUUCUCACUUAUAAGUGGGAGCUGAAUGAUGAGCACACAUGGACACAAAGGGGAACAACAGACACUGGGGCCUGUUGGGGGUGGGAUCGAGGGAGGGAGAGCAUCAGGAGGAACAGCUGAGGGAUGCUGGCUUAAUACCUAGGUGAUGGGAUGAUCUGUGCAGCAAACCACCAUGGCACACAUU